GAAUUUUGAACAAGGGGCGAAAGCCUGACCCGCCAAUGCCGCGGGCGGGAGGAAGGCCUUCGGGUGUAAACCUGCUUUUUUAGGGACGGAAAAGCUUUGGGUAAAUCCCCGGAAGCCUGGACGGUACCGUAAGAAUAAGCACGGGCUAACACCGUGCAGCCAGCCGCGGUAAUACGAAGGGUGCAAGCGUUAAUCGGAAUUACUGGGCGUAAAGCGUGCGCAGGCGGUUUUGUAAGACAGAGGUGAAAUCCCCGGGCUCAACCUGGGAACUGCCUUUGUGACUGCAAGGCUAGAGUACGGCAGAGGGGGGUGGAAUUCCGCGUGUAGCAGUGAAAUGCGUAGAUAUGCGGAGGAACACCGAUGGCGAAGGCAACCCCCUGGGCCUGUACUGACGCUCAUGCACGAAAGCGUGGGGAGCAAAC
rnacentral:rRNA from 1 species